AAGUCGUAACAAGGUUUCCGUAGGUGAACCUGCGGAAGGAUCAUUAAUGAAUGAAUGUAGAGUUGGUUGUAGCUGACCUCCUAGAGGUAUGUGCACGCCUUCUCUUUCAUCCACACACCCCUGUGCACUUGUGAGACAGAGGCAUUUUUUCCUUUAAUUAGGGAAUGGGUCUCUGUCUACUAUCACAUAAAAUCUAAUUUAUUUAAAACUGAAUGUAAUUGAUGUAACGCAUCUAAUACAAAGUUUCAACAACGGAUCUCUUGGCUCUC
rnacentral:misc_RNA from 1 species